CGGUAAAAGCUCAAAUUUGAAAUCUGACUUCUUUGGAAGUUCGAGUUGUAAUUUGUAGAGGAUGUUUUGGGUACCGGCCAGGUCUAAAUUUCUUGGAACAGUAUGUCACAGAGGGUGAGAACCCCGUCUUGGACUAGGCUAGGACCCGUGUAAAACUCCUUC
rnacentral:rRNA from 1 species